UGCGGAUUGCCUGAUGAGCACGGCUCC
rnacentral:piRNA from 1 species